UAACUGUUUAGCCAUAGGGUGGAUUCCAAGAAUGUUACACACCAUCGGUAAAGCUCGGCGCAGCUUUUGUACAAUUUUCUGAGAAGGACCCGUUUCGGUUCGUUAACGUUAGCAGGCUAGCGAGGUGUGAAAAUUGACUGUCAUGACUGGAGCUGAGGUUGAGGAUGAUAUCCCGUUAGGUGAAAGGAAGACGGUCACAGAUUUCUGCUAUCUUUUGGACAAGUCCAAACAGCUCUUCAAUGGACUUAGGGAUCUUCCGCAAUACGGCCACAAACAAUGGCAGUCCUACUUCG